rnacentral:rRNA from 1 species
CAGCCGCCGCGGGAAUACGGAGGGGGCUAGCGUUGUUCGGAAUUACUGGGCGUAAAGCGCACGUAGGCGGCUUGGUAAGUUAGAGGUGAAAGCCCGGAGCUCAACUCCGGAAUUGCCUUUAAGACUGCCGAGCUAGUAGGUGAGAGAGGUAAGUGGAAUUCCGAGUGUAAAGGUGAAAUUCGUAGAUAUUCGGGAGAACACCAGUGGCGAAGGCGGCUUACUGGCUCAUUCUAGACGCUGAGGUGCGAAAGCGUGGGGAGCAAACAGGAUUAGAUACCCCCGUAGUCCCUGUCUCUUAUAC